AUUAGUUUAAUUCUAGAUAAAUUUUUAGUUUUAUCUUAAGUUUAUAUGUAAAAUUGAUAAAUAGUUUUAUUAAGAUAAUAUGUAUGUAUAUUUAUAUAAGCAGUAAAAAAACUUACUUAUAUGUAAAAACAUGAAGUUGUAGAAGAUAAAAAAAAUUGGCCAACAUUGUGCCAGCAGCAGCGGUUAAACAAUGAAUUUUUAAAGUAUAAAAUUUUAUUAAGAUAAAAUAAAAUAAAAUAAGGUAAAAUUUUAUAAAAUUGAAUUUACAUUAUCAAGAUAAAGAUUUUGUGUAAAACAAGGAUUAGAUACCCUUUUAUUCCUAUUUAAUAUAAAAAUUGGAGAGUACGAGCUAUGGCUUAAAAACUAAAGAAUAUGGCGGUAUUUUAUUCAAUCAGGGUGGCAUGUAACUUAAUUUGAUAGUCCACGAUUUUAAAACUUGAUUUUGAAUAACAGUAUGUGUACUGCCGUAAAAUGUAAUUUUAAUAGAUUAUGUAAUUUAUAUAUAUAUAUAUAUAUAUAUAUAUAAAUUCAGGUCUAAGUGCAACUAAUAAUCAUGUGUUUAUGUGCUACAUUUAUGUAUUCAUUCAUUAAUAUUUUUAAAUAAUAAAAAGAAGAACUUGAUAGUAAUUAAAUUAAUUUGAUUUAAUGAAUUUGAAAUUGAAAUAUGUACAAAUCGCCCGUCACUCCUUUAUAAAGGAUAAGUCGUAACAUAGUAGAUGUAAUGGAAAUUGUAUCUAUC
rnacentral:ncRNA from 1 species